rnacentral:rRNA from 1 species
GGUUAAGCGACUAAGCGUACACGGUGGAUGCCCUGGCAGUCAGAGGCGAUGAAGGACGUGCUAAUCUGCGAAAAGCGUCGGUAAGGUGAUAUGAACCGUUACAGCCGGCGAUGUCCGAAUGGGGAAACCCAGUGUGAUUCGUCACACUAUCGUUAACUGAAUACAUAGGUUAACGAGGCGAACCGGGGGAACUGAAACAUCUAAGUACCCCGAGGAAAAGAAAUCAACCGAGAUUCCCCCAGUAGCGGCGAGCGAACGGGGAGCAGCCCAGAGUCUGAAUCAGCUUGUGUGUUAGUGGAACGGUCUGGAAAGUCCGACGGUACAGGGUGAUAGUCCCGUACACCAAAAUGCACAGGCUGUGAACUCGAAGAGUAGGGCGGGACACGUGGUAUCCUGUCUGAAUAUGGGGGGACCAUCCUCCAAGGCUAAAUACUCCUGACUGACCGAUAGUGAACCAGUACCGUGAGGGAAAGGCGAAAAGAACCCCGGCGAGGGGAGUGAAAAAGAACCUGAAACCGUGUACGUACAAGCAGUGGGAGCACCUUCGGGUGUGACUGCGUACCUUUUGUAUAAUGGGUCAGCGACUUAUAUUCUGUAGCAAGGUUAACCGUAUAGGGGAGCCGCAGGGAAACCGAGUCUUAACUGGGCGUUAAGUUGCAGGGUAUAGACCCGAAACCCGGUGAUCUAGCCAUGGGCAGGUUGAAGGUUGGGUAACACUAACUGGAGGACCGAACCGACUAAUGUUGAAAAAUUAGCGGAUGACUUGUGGCUGGGGGUGAAAGGCCAAUCAAACCGGGAGAUAGCUGGUUCUCCCCGAAAGCUAUUUAGGUAGCGCCUCGUGAACUCAUCUUCGGGGGUAGAGCACUGUUUCGGCUAGGGGGUCAUCCCGACUUACCAACCCGAUGCAAACUACGAAUACCGAAGAAUGUUAUCACGGGAGACACACGGCGGGUGCUAACGUCCGUCGUGAAGAGGGAAACAACCCAGACCGCCAGCUAAGGUCCCAAAGUCAUGGUUAAGUGGGAAACGAUGUGGGAAGGCACAGACAGCCAGGAUGUUGGCUUAGAAGCAGCCAUCAUUUAAAGAAAGCGUAAUAGCUCACUGGUCGAGUCGGCCUGCGCGGAAGAUGUAACGGGGCUAAACCAUGCACCGAAGCUGCGGCAGCGACACUAUGUGUUGUUGGGUAGGGGAGCGUUCUGUAAGCCUGCGAAGGUGACCUGUGAGGGUUGCUGGAGGUAUCAGAAGUGCGAAUGCUGACAUAAGUAACGAUAAAGCGGGUGAAAAGCCCGCUCGCCGGAAGACCAAGGGUUCCUGUCCAACGUUAAUCGGGGCAGGGUGAGUCGACCCCUAAGGCGAGGCCGAAAGGCGUAGUCGAUGGGAAACAGGUUAAUAUUCCUGUACUUGGUGUUACUGCGAAGGGGGGACGGAGAAGGCUAUGUUAGCCGGGCGACGGUUGUCCCGGUUUAAGCAUGUAGGCUGGUUAUCCAGGCAAAUCCGGAUAAUCAAGGCUGAGGUGUGAUGACGAGGCACUACGGUGCUGAAGUAACAAAUGCCCUGCUUCCAGGAAAAGCCUCUAAGCAUCAGGUAACAUCAAAUCGUACCCCAAACCGACACAGGUGGUCAGGUAGAGAAUACCAAGGCGCUUGAGAGAACUCGGGUGAAGGAACUAGGCAAAAUGGUGCCGUAACUUCGGGAGAAGGCACGCUGGUGUGUAGGUGAAGUCCCUGCGGAUGGAGCUGAGACCAGUCGAAGAUACCAGCUGGCUGCAACUGUUUAUUAAAAACACAGCACUGUGCAAACACGAAAGUGGACGUAUACGGUGUGACGCCUGCCCGGUGCCGGAAGGUUAAUUGAUGGGGUUAUCCGUAAGGAGAAGCUCUUGAUCGAAGCCCCGGUAAACGGCGGCCGUAACUAUAACGGUCCUAAGGUAGCGAAAUUCCUUGUCGGGUAAGUUCCGACCUGCACGAAUGGCGUAAUGAUGGCCAGGCUGUCUCCACCCGAGACUCAGUGAAAUUGAACUCGCUGUGAAGAUGCAGUGUACCCGCGGCAAGACGGAAAGACCCCGUGAACCUUUACUAUAGCUUGACACUGAACAUUGAGCCUUGAUGUGUAGGAUAGGUGGGAGGCUUUGAAGCGUGGACGCCAGUCUGCGUGGAGCCAACCUUGAAAUACCACCCUUUAAUGUUUGAUGUUCUAACGUUGGCCCCUUAUCGGGGUUGCGGACAGUGUCUGGUGGGUAGUUUGACUGGGGCGGUCUCCUCCCAAAGCGUAACGGAGGAGCACGAAGGUUAGCUAAUCCUGGUCGGACAUCAGGAGGUUAGUGCAAUGGCAUAAGCUAGCUUGACUGCGAGCGUGACGGCGCGAGCAGGUGCGAAAGCAGGUCAUAGUGAUCCGGUGGUUCUGAAUGGAAGGGCCAUCGCUCAACGGAUAAAAGGUACUCCGGGGAUAACAGGCUGAUACCGCCCAAGAGUUCAUAUCGACGGCGGUGUUUGGCACCUCGAUGUCGGCUCAUCACAUCCUGGGGCUGAAGUAGGUCCCAAGGGUAUGGCUGUUCGCCAUUUAAAGUGGUACGCGAGCUGGGUUUAGAACGUCGUGAGACAGUUCGGUCCCUAUCUGCCGUGGGCGCUGGAGAAUUGAGGGGGGCUGCUCCUAGUACGAGAGGACCGGAGUGGACGCAUCACUGGUGUUCGGGUUGUCAUGCCAAUGGCACUGCCCGGUAGCUAAAUGCGGAAGAGAUAAGUGCUGAAAGCAUCUAAGCACGAAACUUGCCCCGAGAUGAGUUCUCCCUGAGACUUUAAGUCUCCUGAAGGAACGUUAAAGACGAUGACGUUGAUAGGCCGGGUGUGUAAGCGCAGCGAUGCGUUGAGCUAACCGGUACUAAUGAACCGUGAGGCUUAACCUU